rnacentral:rRNA from 1 species
AGCAGCCGCGGUAAUUCCAGCUCCAAUAGCGUAUAUUAGUGUUGUUGCGGUUAAAAAGCUCGUAGUUGAAUUUCGGGAUUGGGAUAUAUCGGUCAUGCCUUUAGGGACAUGAAUCGGUGUGUGAUCAAUUCUCACCUUCUGGUGAAUUGGGAUGCUCUUGGGUGUUUCGAUGAACUAGGACAUUUACUUUGAAAAAAUUAGAGUGUUUAAAGCGGGCAUUUUUGCUUGAAUACAUUAGCAUGGAAUAAUAAAAUAGGACGAUGGUUCUAUUUUGUUGGUUUUAGGACCACGUAAUGAUUAAUAGGGAUAGUUGGGGGCAUUAGUAUUCAAUUGUCAGAGGUGAAAUUCUUGGAUUUAUUGAGGACUAACUACUGCGAAAGCAUUUGCCAAGGAUGUUUUCAUUAAUCAAGAACGAAAGUUAGGGGACCAAAGACGAUUUAUGUACGUCGUAGUCUUAACCAUAAACUAUGCCGACUAGGGAUCGGGCGGUGUUAUUAUUUUGACUCGCUCGGCACCUUACG